UUAGAGUUUGAUCUUGGCUCAGGAUGAACGCUGGCGGUGUGCCUAAUACAUGCAAGUCGAACGCGUUGGCCCAAUUGAUUGAUGGUGCUUGCACCUGAUUGAUUUUGGUCGCCAACGAGUGGCGGACGGGUGAGUAACACGUAGGUAACCUGCCCAGAAGCGGGGGACAACAUUUGGAAACAGAUGCUAAUACCGCAUAACAGCGUUGUUCGCAUGAACAACGCUUAAAAGAUGGCUUCUCGCUAUCACUUCUGGAUGGACCUGCGGUGCAUUAGCUUGUUGGUGGGGUAACGGCCUACCAAGGCGAUGAUGCAUAGCCGAGUUGAGAGACUGAUCGGCCACAAUGGGACUGAGACACGGCCCAUACUCCUACGGGAGGCAGCAGUAGGGAAUCUUCCACAAUGGGCGCAAGCCUGAUGGAGCAACACCGCGUGAGUGAAGAAGGGUUUCGGCUCGUAAAGCUCUGUUGUUAAAGAAGAACACGUAUGAGAGUAACUGUUCAUACGUUGACGGUAUCCAACCAGAAAGUCACGGCUAACUACGUGCCAGCAGCCGCGGUAAUACGUAGGUGGCAAGCGUUAUCCGGAUUUAUUGGGCGUAAAGAGAGUGCAGGCGGUUUUCUAAGUCUGAUGUGAAAGCCUUCGGCUUAACCGGAGAAGUGCAUCGGAAACUGGAUAACUUGAGUGCAGAAGAGGGUAGUGGAACUCCAUGUGUAGCGGUGGAAUGCGUAGAUAUAUGGAAGAACACCAGUGGCGAAGGCGGCUACCUGGUCUGCAACUGACGCUGAGACUCGAAAGCAUGGGUAGCGAACAGGAUUAGAUACCCUGGUAGUCCAUGCCGUAAACGAUGAGUGCUAGGUGUUGGAGGGUUUCCGCCCUUCAGUGCCGGAGCUAACGCAUUAAGCACUCCGCCUGGGGAGUACGACCGCAAGGUUGAAACUCAAAGGAAUUGACGGGGGCCCGCACAAGCGGUGGAGCAUGUGGUUUAAUUCGAAGCUACGCGAAGAACCUUACCAGGUCUUGACAUCUUGCGCCAACCCUAGAGAUAGGGCGUUUCCUUCGGGAACGCAAUGACAGGUGGUGCAUGGUCGUCGUCAGCUCGUGUCGUGAGAUGUUGGGUUAAGUCCCGCAACGAGCGCAACCCUUGUUACUAGUUGCCAGCAUUAAGUUGGGCACUCUAGUGAGACUGCCGGUGACAAACCGGAGGAAGGUGGGGACGACGUCAGAUCAUCAUGCCCCUUAUGACCUGGGCUACACACGUGCUACAAUGGACGGUACAACGAGUCGCGAACUCGCGAGGGCAAGCAAAUCUCUUAAAACCGUUCUCAGUUCGGACUGCAGGCUGCAACUCGCCUGCACGAAGUCGGAAUCGCUAGUAAUCGCGGAUCAGCAUGCCGCGGUGAAUACGUUCCCGGGCCUUGUACACACCGCCCGUCACACCAUGAGAGUUUGUAACACCCAAAGUCGGUGGGGUAACCUUUUAGGAGCCAGCCGCCUAAGGUGGGACAGAUGAUUAGGGUGAAGUCGUAACAAGGUAGCCGUAGGAGAACCUGCGGCUGGAUCACCUCCUU
rnacentral:rRNA from 1 species